ACAACUACCAGAGGAUAUCAGAGUUGCUGAGAUGAGUAUGAAUGAUUCUUGGUUCUUCGAAUCUGGACCAACUGUAAGUUCUUUAUCUUCCACAUAGCAUCUUACUACCAUCUGUUCUGAACAGUGGUUGCUUCUUUGUCUUUAUUUUACAGUUUUUUAGUGGAAAUGACAAUUUUACUACUCUGAGCAUUUCUUACAUCAAAAACGCUAACCAAUAGAAAACGAAAAAGAGAUGACUGAGUUACAUUGUUAUGGCGCCACAUCUAUGAGCUUCUACCAACUCAUCUAGAGCAGACACCUUUAGCGUCAGAAUUUCAUCUACGACUGAGUCCAAUCUCAAUCUCAAGUUGCAUUGUUGCGGCGCCACACCAUUGAAAUGGGACUCCUUUUCUGCUUGGAAUGAAGAAUUACAGAAUUUUCUGGUGUUAACUUUGACAAAAAGGUACUCAACAAUGAUUUAUUAUUAUUAUAUUUUGGCCAGUAACACAACCAGACACCAAUACACUAACAAAGUUGGUUCUGUUGUUAUAAACAAUAAUAGGUUCAUAGUGUGUAUUGGUGAGAAGGACAUGAUGAUUCUGAGCUUGUCACGAAAUCUCAUCAUCAGAUAUUGUGGUCACUUCUUGGAAGGUAUAUAACAUCAGUUUCUCUUUCCAAGUUUAUAUUAAUGUCUCAACUGUUACUCAGAUUCAUGUGUUUUUUUGUUCCCAUGAUUAUAGUACUCAGGUUUUGCAGCGAAGCUUACCAAGUCCCAAGCCAAGCAAAUCGCAGGUACUUUGUCUCAUGUCUCAUAUAUUCUUGGCUUUCUUGGAAACAAACACCUAAGUCAUGCAUUUACACAACAUCUUCAUUUGUCUCAAACACAUCUGAUGUGUUUCUCAUUGCUAAUGCUUUGUGCCAACAGAUUUACCUGAUGUGUUGUUCUUAGCUUUUUUUGCAGCCAGUCUGAAUAUGGUAAAGAAGUUAUCAUUGGCAUUGUCGACACAGGUACGUCUGUGUAUUUGUACAUACAUGUCAUGUUGCUUCUGGUUCCUCUAUCUUAGGUCUCAGUCAAUUAAAAAAUAUUUUGAUAUUCCAGGAGUGUGGCAAGACAUUGGGAUCGGACCAGCGCCAAUACGCUGGGAAGAAGGUUGUGAAUUUGGAGAGGAUUUCAACUACUGACACUGCAACAAAAAGCUCAUAAGAGUCAAAUAUGGGGUUUCUUGCGGAGAACGAAAGCUUCAACAAGUCUUGAAGUAAAAAAAUACAUACACAAGGGAUGUUUGUAACAAAGUAAUAACUUCCAAAAUUAUUUAUAUAUAAAAAUCAUAUUAAUCAACUUCAGCUUUGUUGAAUAAAUCUCCAUCACAUCUUGUGAAUUAAUACAUCAAAAGGUAAUAUUUAAACCCAAAAAACGAACACUGAUCACGAAAAUCCAUUAACAAACUGCUGAGAAAACAUGAUAUUAGAAAAAGUAUUCAGGCUUCCACACUACUACAUACUUCAGCUCCAAAUAAAGAUUUGCGUAACUACACCAUUCAUAAUAUAAAACAACCUAAUUAGACAAACAAGUGUUACAAAACUGUGUUGUGUUCAAGUUAAAUACAAUUCUCCACACCGAAUACAACACAAUAGUUUUACUUAAAAACAAAUACUGUACUACAUAUAAAAUUAACCAUCCAGUAACAAUCCACAUAGAUUAUGGACAGCCAAAUAAACCAAUACAACACCAACCCUCAUCGAGCUGUAUCUCAAAUGAUAAUAUAUAAAAGCUACUUAAAAACACUAUUAAUAAAAAGAACAGUCAAUUCAACAAAAAAACAUUUACUCGACGUGAGUAGUCCUUAAAACAAACUGAUAGAACAAGAAACCCCCACCCUCCAACAUAUAUAUGACAUAGCUACGACCCGUAACCCUCAUAUUUUACUAGAUAUCAAACUUAUCUUCACCGAUCUUGAAGGAACUAAUAGACCUCCAAUCCAACUGUGGAAGAAGAAAGUGAUACGUGCACUGAAUGCUUCGAGAAUUACAAUUAUGGAAUUUGCUAAUAAUUUUGACAUUUGCUAAUAAUUUUGGAAAAUAAUUGUUUUCCAUAGCUCGAAAAUAUAUUCUUUCUCACAACGUCAUACACACAUAUUAAAAUAGAUCAAAUGCAUCAUUUCUAUACUACUACCACUAACCUCUAUCAAAUGGAUCAAACAAACCCUCUUUAACUUAUUAGAUACCAAAAUAUACGAACCCGGCGCGUAGCGCUGGAAUGCCCCUAGUAGUUAUGUAAAAUCUCUAAUUCAAUACAAUUAUCGAAAUUCUUAAUAAUAAUUUUUUUAAAAAAAAUAUUUCACACAAAUAUGAGUACAAAGAAAAACAAAAAUAUGCUUACAAAAAAAACACAAAUAUGGUUACAAAAAAAACACAAAUAUAAAAAUUAAAUUUCUACAAAAAUAUGUAAACAAAAAAUAUACAUACGAAACUAGUCUCUAUUAUAUUAGUCCCACGCUUUUUACAUGUCACAUGAUAGUACAUACGAAACUCUACUCAAAUCCUUAGUUUUGUCAAGACGACUCUCAUUUGGUAGUUUGUUUGUCAUUUAGGAGAAAACAUUUGGAAAUGGGCGUAAAGCAAAUGAAGAUGAUGGUAACGGUGUAAUAUGAGUUGUUUUUAUAACUCCCCCUUCUAUCAAAUAUUACAAAAGCUUCUAACAAAAUAACAAACUAGAAUCAAAUAACGCCAUGCUUUAUGAUCCUCUCAUUUUAUUAUAUGUAUAUAGAAGGUUGAAACGCUUGCUUCAAAACUAGUUCUUUAUUUUUCUUGCAGCUGUCUUUCAUCCAUAAUUCCAUCUAAUAUUAUAUUUAAAUAAGAAAGGUGAGCAACUUAAAAUUCUAUCACAACUUUUAAUAGUUUUUUCCUUUAUUAAAAGUAAAUACAGUGAUAAUAUUAAAUAAUUUUAAAUUUUUCAAAAAGUGUUUAAAGAAUUACAAUUUAUUUCUAAAUUAUAAACAAAAUAAAAAUGAAAGAAAAAUACUAGCUUUCAUUAUUUUAAAAUACUAAGCCUAAUUAUAUUUAUGAAUAUGUGUUUAGGUGAAGUUUCUGUUGCAAUUGACUCUCCAAAAAACACUUUCCUUCCCGUUUGAUUCUUUCUCUUUGCACAUUAUACAUUAGCAGUAUUCAACUAUCACAACAUUAUUCUGAUUUAGCUUAGGCCUUUCAAUGGAAACCGUUUUAAAAAAGAUCUCACACACAACCGAUCAUUCACAACAUAUUUCUUCUUUAAACAUAAUUAAUAUUCAUUAACUUUUCAGUAAAUUAAAAUAAUAAAAAGUGUAACAAAAUGUUUGGUUUUCUUCUUUUAAUAUAAAAUUAAGAACUGUCAAUAGAGCAAUAUACAUGCUUCAUCUUUAAAGUAUUUUUUAAAAAUAUUUACUUUUACACUUUUUAAUAUAAUUAUUUUAUUCUUAAAACGAGAUAUAUUAAUUAAUCUACUAAUAGUGUACUCUCUACUAAUAUUUUAGAAACACUAUUUUAGAUUAUGUUAUUUAUACUAUUAUUUGAGAAGUGAUUUUGCUUAUUUGUUAUGUUUUAUAUGAUUUUUGGUAAUUUUAUUUGUCAUGUUCUUAUGAUUUUGACUGAGGAAUCGAUCAAUUUAAAUUUAUAGAUAUAAAAAUUAUGAUAGAAAUCUAAAUAUUUUGCUCGACCCAAAUUUUAAAUCAUAUUUGUUAGAGAAUAUAUAGCGUAAUAUAUAUCAGUCAAUUUUUAUGAGGUUUUAGUUAAUGAAAUAUAUAUCGUAUGUAAAUCUUUAUAAAUAAAGUUGACAUAUCUGUCUUCUCAGGCGUCCACGUCGCUUUGGAGAGAUGGGAAAAGAUGACACGUGUCAUCCUCUCUUUCAAAGAUAAUUUUUUUUCGGUUUGCCCAAAUCUUAAUCCUUCAUUUCGUCUAGAUUUUUCUCGCCUACUGCGAAACUUGAUAGUCACCGGUUACAAAUCAAAGGUUCACCCACAUCAUCCACUAAUUAAUCAUUUACUCUCCCCCUUUAGUUUAGUAAUCGAUUCAGUUUUUGAGAUCCCGAAUAAUCUGAGAGGAUUUUUAAUUACGAUGGCGACUAAUCUGAGGUGGAGGAUUAACCAGAGAUGGAAGGAAAGUGGGUAGGGAGGACGCCGGAGGGAGUGGGACUGGUGGUGAAGCUAGCUGGCGGCGAUUAAGUAGCAGACAUGGAUGAUUGCAAAGUAAACUGUCAAAGAAUAAUACUGAACAGAAUUUGCAGUGUCGCCACCUGCUAAAAAGAUAUGUGGAACUUUAAGUCAAUGACAGAUGAUGAUCCAAUGAAGUUUGGGUUUGGCUCACCAGGAAUCAAAGAUAAGAAGAAGAAGAAGAAGAAGAAAAGAAGAAGAAGAAGAUGAUGAAGAAGAAGAAGGCCUUCAAGCUGUGAGUGUAAACAUACACCAUACGCUUCUUUGAUCAUGUAUACGCCUAAGCUAAUGUGGUUCAAUCGUGGAUUUUUUUUUCUCAUUUAUCAUUGAUUACUUUAACGCUGCUUGACAACAAGUCUUACUGUCUCAGAUAUAACAUUUGACGACCCAUCCCUAAUCAAUCAGGUUCCAUCUCUUUCUCUCCCUCUCUCUGUUAUCCAUCGUUCCUCACUAUUUCUAAUCAGUUUUUAUGAUGCCUUCGUUUGAGCUAAUUGUAUAUGUGUGGUUACGGAGUUGCCGGAACUGGGUAAAGAUUAUUCUGCUCAUAUGCUUAAUUAGUACACUCACGUGAGCUUCCCUUCCCUUUUUCACUAUCUUAUCUUGCUAUGAAAUUGAUAUGGUAAAAGCUUAAUAAUGUAUAGAAUGUGGUUACUAGCCUUUAAGUUGAAGGCAUGGUUUCUGUAUAAUGUGUAUGAAAUUCAUAUGUGUAACAGAGAUGAUGAGCUUUCUGGAUUGGAAGUGUGGGGGUCUUCUUUUGAGAUGCCAAAACUGGAUGUUUUAAAAUGUUUCUCUAAUUGAUUUGCCAUAAUUUGAGUUGUUAGAUGUGACCACGAGGAGGCAAAUUCAGUAGACAGAUCGUCAGAGGUAUCUUGAACCAAAAGUUACAAGCAUUUUUUCACAUAAUCAGGAUAGUGACUUGAAAAUGCUUCAGAAGAAAAACAGAAUUGGUCUUCUUCUGCUUGAAGUUAAAACGUAAGCCAAUCUGAAGAAAAGUACAAGAAGAGCAAGGGUUGGUGGUUGCAAUGUAAGUCAUUCUUUUACUUCUAUUAAGAGAAAGUAUGUCCUCUGAAAAUGAGAAAAACGUCUACCCACGCCUCUUCAGUUUGCUCCUACUCUCCAUAGACAAUAUAUGAGCUCAUGUUGUGUCUCAGUUCUGACUCAUGUCUAACUCCCCCACCACAAAUUCAUACACAACAAUAGACAAGAAAUAGCUCAAAUUUUAUCUGAUCACCGGCCAUACAGGUUCGAUUGAUGGACUAAGCCAUAUAUACUACAGCUUCACAUCACAAUGUUAAAACUUACCUACCAUUCUUCUCAUGAUUUACAAUAAUUCACCAUGAAAGAAUAUAUGAAAUUUAUGUUUUGGUCAAUAUUCCAGGCUCUGCAAUAGUUCCAAGUAUAUGAAGACAACUUCAAACUCUCCUAACAUAUCUCAAAAAAGCAAUCGUGCAUUCCGAACUGAGGUGUAGCACAUUAUUAUACGGUUAUGGACUCUUUUAUUUUGUGUUUACGGUCGUGUUUCAUUUUUUAUAUAUUUGGUUCCAAACUAUAGCCUGAGCAUCUUAGAGAGCAUGCCAAAGAAGAAACAAAUGCAAUUUCUUAUGAACCUGGUGUGGAGAAGACCCUAAGGAGAAACACUUCUUCGAACCCCUUUCGAUAUACCCGAAACCACACGGAAAUCACUCACUCACCCAUAUGCUUCAUGGUGAUUCUUGCAUAGAUGAGAAAUGAUUAGCACAAGACGUUUGUUGGUUGUUUAAUAUUCAUGCGGGAUAUUGUCUCCUUCUUCACUAUUUGGUAAAGCUAGAGGAAACUGUGCAACAAAUAUACUUUGGUUAAAUUAUAUAUAUGAUGGGGCUGAUUAUUUGAAUUGUUUGAGCAUGAGAUUUUUUCUUUGUCAACUAGCAGGAGAUUUACUUAUAUAAUUUGUACUGUGAUGCUUGAUUUA